rnacentral:rRNA from 1 species
UGGCUAAUACCGCAUACUACCCGUGGGUUAAAGCGGGGGUUUUUCGGACCUUGCGCUACCGGAUACGCCUAAGUGAGAUUAGCUGGUUGGUGAGGUAAGAGCUCACCAAGGCGACGAUCUCUAGCUGGUCUGAGAGGAUGAUCAGCCACAUUGGAAUUGAGAUACGGUCCAGACUCCUACGGGAGGCAGCAGUGGGGAAUAUUGCAUAAUGGGGGAAACCCUGAUGCAGCCAUGCCGCGUGUAUGAAGAAGGCCUUCGGGUUGUAAAGUACUUUCAGCAGUGAGGAAGGGUAACAGAUUAAUACUCUGUUACUUUGACGUUAGCUGCAGAAGAAGCACCGGCUAACUCCGUGUUAGUAGUUGCGAUAAUACGGAGGGUGCGAGCGUUAAUCGGAAUUACUGGGCGUAAAGCGCAUGUAGGUGGUUAAUUAAGUCAGAUGUGAAAGCCCGGGGUUUAACCUCGGGAUCGCAUUAGAAACUGGUUGGCUAGAGUACUGUAGAGGGGGGUAGAAUUUUAGGUGUAGUGGUGAAAUGUGUAGAGAUUUGAAGGAAUAUUGGUGGUGAAGGCGCCCCCUGGACAGAUACUGACACUGAGAUGCGAAAGCGUGGGGAGUAAAUAGGAUUAGAUACUCUGGUAGUCCACGCCGUAAACGAUGUCUACUUGGAGGUUGCGGCCUUGAGCUGUGGCUUUCGGAGCUAACGCGUUAAGUAGACCGCCUGGGGAGUACGGUCGCAAGAUUAAAACUCAAAUGAAUUGACGGGGGCCCGCACAAGCGGUGGAGCAUGCGGUUUAAUUUGAUGCAAUGUGAAGAACCUUACCUACUCUUGACAUCCAGAAAAUCCUUUAGAGAUAGAGGAGUGCCUUCUGGAAUUCUGAGACAGGUGCUGCAUGGCUGUCGUCAGCUCGUGUUGUGAAAUGUUGGGUUAAGUCCCGCAACGAGCGCAACCCUUAUCCUUGUUUGUUAGUAUUUUGGGUGGGAACUCCAGGGAGACUGCCGGUGAUAAACCGGAGGAAGGUGGGGACGACGUCAAGUCAUCAUGGCCCUUACGAGUAGGGCUACACACGUGCUACAAUGGCGUAUAUAGAGGGCGGUUAAUUUGUGAGAGUGAGUGAAUUUUAAAAAGUACGUCGUAGUCCGGAUUGGAGUCUGUAACUCGACUCCAUGAAGUCGGAAUCGCUAGUAAUCGUGGAUUAGAAUGCCACGGUGAAUACGUUCCCGGGCCUUGUAUAUACCGCCCGUCACACCAUGGGAGUGGGCUGCAAAAGAAGCAGGUAGUUUAAUUUUUGGGGGGACGCUUGCCACUUUGUGGUUCAUGACUGGGGUGAAGUUGAAAUAAGGUA